UCAGGGUCCAGAUCCAACGUUUAACAGGAAGUUUUCUGUUUCAGAGCAGGUUUUCCACAGACAGACAAAAUGGCUGAAUCAUUCACCUACAGCUCCUAUGAGGUAUAGUCUGAA